GGGAAUGGCUGUGCCCCUGGUGGGCACCCCGGACUUCAAAUCCGGCGGCGGGCCAGCCUUGAGCUGUCCGCGGUAGGUUCGAUUCCUACACAUUCCCGCCA
rnacentral:tRNA from 1 species